ACAGGAACUUCCAAAGAAAGUACAGUCAUGCCAAGAGCCAUACUACAUUUCAUUGUUCCAUUCAUGAGGAAAUUACAUUAAUUUGCUCUCUGUUCCUCUGGAGCCCUGAUGAAGGUGUUUUGGGAAGUGAAACUGAGCUGUGUCCCUGAGUCUCAUAAGGAAAAUCACCCUCUCAGGAACAGAAGAGAAUCCAGUCUAAAUCACAAAAUACAUUAAAUA